GGGGCGUGGACUUCAUCAGGCAGUAGAGUACAUGGCGUACACAGAUUCGGCGAAGCAGGGAGUGUCGUCGCCUCCGGUUGCUAUGGCCGUGGAAGAUGACGACGAGGUGAUGCGGACUGGCGACCGCCGUGGAAGUGCAGAACCCUCCCUGGGGGAAGGUUCAUCCACUCACCAUAGAGAGGUCUCGCCAGCCCUGAGUCCGUUACCGGAGAGUACUCCCCCAUUACGGUAUCCUGGGAAGAGGAGAGCGCCAUUGGACGAGGAGGGUGACAGUGAUGAUGAGGCCACGUUCGACGUCGGCCUCAAUCACGUUGUGGCUCUCGCUAGAA